GAUGAACGCUGGCGGCGUGCCUAACGCAUUCAAGUCGAACGGAGUUAUGGAGUAGCUUGCUACGAAAUAACUUAGUGGCGGACGGGUGAGUAAUGCAUGAGCAACCUGCCUUAAAGAGGGGGAUAACACAGAGAAAUUUGUGCUAAUACCGCAUGUUUAUACUGAGGGCAUCCUCGGUAUAAUAAAGGAGCAAUCCGCUUUAAGAUGGGCUCAUGUCUGAUUAGAUAGUUGGUGAGGUAACGGCUCACCAAGUCUACGAUCAGUAGCCGGACUGAGAGGUUGAUCGGCCACAUUGGAACUGAGAUACGGUCCAG
rnacentral:rRNA from 1 species